UCUCCGUUGGUGAACCAGCGGAGGGGUCAUUACCGAGUUUACAACUCCCAAACCCCUGUGAACAUACCUGUUUUGUUGCUUCGGCGGUGCCCUCGCUCUCGCGGCGAGGCCCGCCAGAGGACCCAAACAAACUCUUUGACUUUGAUCUAGGAUUAUACUUCUGAGUGAUACAAAAAAUAAAAUCAAAACUUUCAACAACGGAUCUCUUGGUUCUG
rnacentral:misc_RNA from 1 species